UGUAAACCGAGAACCCAAUAACAGUGAUCGGGUCAAGAAUCCUUCAACCGCCUUUGAAACAUGUUUGUCUUUUUGCUAUAAAUAGCCGUUUAGCAACAUGACAAAAAAAAAAAAAAAAAAAAAGAAAAGACUUUAAGGUAGCUUGUGGAAGCUCUGUUAGUUUUCUUUGUCCAGGGUUUUGUUUCAAUUACGUUUUUAUGGUUUUUUGGAUAUCGCUAUGGAUUUCCAUGUAUACAUGAUCAUGAUGAUGAUGCUUGUUCUACGUUUUGGAUAGAUUUGAUUUCUGCUCGAUUGCUACAAGUUUGAUAAAAAAUAGUUUGCGAUCUUCAUUUCGUUUUCGUUGGUUGAAAUAGUUUGCAAUUUUCGAUAAAUCGACUUUUGCUCUGCUAUGUUGGUCUUGGCUUGCGAUCUUCCAUGUCAAAUAUUCGUUGGUUGAUUACGAUGCUGUUUCUGGUUUCGUUUACGAUAAAUUGGACUUUUUGGCUUUGCGAUCUUGGUCUUCUAUUACGAAAUUUCCUAAGAAUCAAAUAAAAGAUUGUCCGAUCAUAUAUUAUAUAUUAGGGAUUUUUUUUUUUUUAAUAUAUACAUAUAUUUUUUACGUGAUGGAUAUCUAUCUUGGUUCAGAUUGUGGUGAUUGCUGGAUUAUUCAAGGUGGACUAUUGAACUUGGAUGAUGUCAGGUUCUCUGAAUAAAAUUUUCAGUUCAGAUUGCUUUACGGAUUUCUCAUGUGAUAUUUUUUUUAUUAAUUUACUCAAAAGACGCUCAAUUUUUGAACAAAUGCUUCAGACGCUCUUCAUUGGUCUGUUAGUACUAAUGAUAGAUUCUGGGAAUUCACCGCACGUUAUUGGUUUGACAAAAUACUCAAUUUUGGACUCUGGUAGUUUAUCAUUGGAUUGCCGUGAUGUUUAGGUUUCUACCUGAUGGGAUUAUACUUUGCCCAUUUUGUUGUCUGCGGUUCACAUCUUUAUCGAGUACCUUGAUUGAAUUUGGGCUUCAACAUUAUAUCAAAUGCGGGUAUUAUAGUCUUCAACUGUUUGCAGAUGGAUUAAUUAGAAUAAAACUAGGAAUUUGACAUUUGAUAAUCUCUUAUACAAAAACUCAUUACAAACUGUUGUAAUUUGCGGUAAAUUCUUUCAUUUGGUAUGGCCUUUUUUUUUUUUUUUGGGCCCCUUUUGUCUUUGGUGAAUAUUUCCUUUCUUGCUUGCUGAUUGUUAUGGAAAUUGGAAAUUGUUAUAGGCAUUGGAAUGAAAAAUAUGCCUUUAUUGGUAUGACAGUUGGCAAAACCAAUGCUAUACAUAAUACGUAUUACUUUUCCUUUUUACAAUAUGAGACAUACAAUAUUUCCAUUUCUUUGAAUGCUGGACUGUGAACAUGACCCCAGAGCUUUGGUAUUGUCGGGUUGAUUGUUUCUGCAUUUUUUUUAAAAAAAAAAAAAAAAAAAAAGUUUGCCGUGUAAAUAUCUUGUUGAACUAUGGUAUUUUGUUUUAUUGGUUGAAAACAGUGUUUAUUUUGAGUGUCUUUAAAUGGAGAAUUUGGUAUUCUUUAUAGAAUGUUUGCUUUUGAAUUUCUUGUUAUUAAUAUGUAUGACAUCUAAGAUUAUUUUCUAAAACUUGGACUCCAUGAUAUUUGAUGUAGGUAGUCCAUGAUCACAAGGCUGUGGGGCGUUGUUCUGUGUGUGUAUUUUUAUUUUUAGUGAUGUGCAAUUAUUUUUCAUUUUACAUUGACUUUAAGGGAAAUUCUUAAUUUAAAUUAUAUGGCUGUUGGGAUUUUACCUUUCUUGGAGUUUGAAAGCUCUGUUGACUUUUGUAGAAAGCUGCUAGAUGUCUUUUGCAAUUAACUUUUAAGAUUUCUGGUCCCAGUCCUGGCCGAGUUUUUUGGCUGUGUAUAUACUUUGGUGUUGAGCUUUUCCCUUAAUUAAAUAGCCAAUUUCAUUAUGUUAUCAUUUUUCUUACUCUCAAAUUCUUUUGUCUAAAAUAUUGGCUUCCUGAAGAUGUGUUUUUUCAUAAAUUGAAAUUUUUUUAUUAUUAAUUUUUUAUUGUUAAGGGUUUGUUGAUUUCUUGCAAA